rnacentral:rRNA from 1 species
CCAGACCACCAGCUAAGGUCCCAAAAUAUAUGUUAAGUGGAAAAGGAUGUGGCGUUGCCCAGACAACUAGGAUGUUGGCUUAGAAGCAGCCAUCAUUUAAAGAGUGCGUAAUAGCUCACUAGUCGAGUGACACUGCGCCGAAAAUGUACCGGGGCUAAACAUAUUACCGAAGCUGUGGAUUGUCCUUUGGACAAUGGUAGGAGAGCGUUCUAAGGGCGUUGAAGCAUGAUCGUAAGGACAUGUGGAGCGCUUAGAAGUGAGAAUGCCGGUGUGAGUAGCGAAAGACGGGUGAGAAUCCCGUCCACCGAUUGACUAAGGUUUCCAGAGGAAGGCUCGUCCGCUCUGGGUUAGUCGGGUCCUAAGCUGAGGCCGACAGGCGUAGGCGAUGGAUAACAGGUUGAUAUUCCUGUACCACCUAUAAUCGUUUUAAUCGAUGGGGGGACGCAGUAGGAUAGGCGAAGCGUGCGAUUGGAUUGCACGUCUAAGCAGUAAGGCUGAGUAUUAGG